AGAGUUUGAUCCUGGCUCAGGACGAACGCUGGCGGUGUGCUUCACACAUGCAAGUCGAACGGGGUAGCAAUACCCAGUGGCGGACGGGUGAGUAACACGUGGGAAUCUACCAUUAGAUGGGGAAUAACAGGCCGAAAGGACUGCUAAUGCCGCAUAUGUAUGUGCCUCGACAGGGGCGUAUAUGAAAGGAGUAAUCCGUCUGAUGAUGAGCCCGCGUCCGAUUAGCUAGUUGGUAGGGUAAAAGCCUACCAAGGCGACGAUCGGUAGGUGGUCUGAGAGGAUGAUCACCCACAAUGGGACUGAGACACGGCCCAUACUCCUACGGGAGGCAGCAGUGGGGAAUUUUGUGCAAUGGGGGAAACCCUGACACAGCGACACCGCGUGAGCGAAGAAGCCCUUUGGGGUGUAAAGCUCUGUCAACGGGAACGAAAAAAAUGACGGUACCCGUGGAGGAAGCAUCGGCUAACUACGUGCCAGCAGCCGCGGUAAGACGUAGGAUGCAAGCGUUGUCCGGAUUUAUUGGGCGUAAAGAGUUCGUAGGCUGUUUGUUAAGUCUGAUGUUAAAGACUGGGGCUCAACCUCGGAAAUGCAUUGGAUACUGGCAGACUGGAGUGCAGUAGAGGCUAGUGGAAUUCCCAGUGUAGCGGUGAAAUGCGUAGA
rnacentral:rRNA from 1 species